rnacentral:rRNA from 1 species
UGAGUAACCUGCCCUUCACUCUGGGAUAACUCCGGGAAACCGGGGCUAAUACUGGAUAUGACUCGAACAGGCAUCUGUUUCGGGUGGAAAGAUUUUAUUGGUGGAGGAUGGACUCGCGGCCUAUCAGCUUGUUGGUGAGGUAAUGGCUCACCAAGGCGACGACGGGUAGCCGGCCUGAGAGGGCGAUCGGCCACACUGGGACUGAGACACGGCCAAGACUCCGUACGGGAGGCA